rnacentral:lncRNA from 1 species
GAAGGAAGACAUCAUGAUGACCUAUCAAACUGUUGUCUUGUGCGCCUCUCCUGACACUUCCAGUAACAUGGCUCAAAGCAAUAGUUACUACAAAUGCAAGGAUGCAUUUGUUGAUCAUUUACACAACAGGAAGAGCAGGGAGGGAGGAAAAUUCACUCCAGUUGCUUCCCUCAGAGAGUGUCAGAGAAAAUUGGUUCUUCUCUUUGAGAAACUUGAAAACAUGCUUUGGAUAAUUCAGACAAAUAAAUAACACAAUACAAACUGUUAUUUACUGCCUGAAAGGACAGAAGAGUUUUGAGUUCCAUGGAAGCAGACUGUUUUUGUAAUUUACAGUGUGGUAAAAUAUCUGGCCAAUACCAAUUUUUUUUUUUUUUUUUUUUUUUUUUCCUAUUUAAGAAGCUAAAUCUAAAAUAAAGACCUUCUUGAGAGAGUUUUAAAGAGUAUU